UACGUAGGCAGCAAGCGUUGUUCGGAGUUACUGGGCGUAAAGGGUGUGUAGGCGGUUCCUUAAGUUUGCUGUGAAAUCUCCCGGCUUAACCGGGAGGGUGCGGUGAAUACUGAGGGACUAGAGUACGGGAGAGGAAAGUGGAAUUCCUGGUGUAGCGGUGAAAUGCGUAGAUAUCAGGAGGAACGCCGGUGGUGUAGACGGCUUUCUGGACCGUAACUGACGCUGAGACACGAAAGCGUGGGUAGCAAACAGG
rnacentral:rRNA from 1 species